rnacentral:rRNA from 1 species
CCUACGGGAGGCAGCAGUAAGGAAUAUUGGUCAAUGGAGGUAACUCUGAACCAGCCAUGCCGCGUGCAGGAAGACGGCCCUAUGGGUUGUAAACUGCUUUUGAACUAGAGAAAACCUUGGUACGUGUACCGAGUUGAUAGUAUAGUUAGAAUAAGCAUCGGCUAACUUCGUGCCAGCAGCCGCGGUAAGACGAAGGAUGCAAGCGUUAUCCGGAUUCAUUGGGUUUAAAGGGUGCGUAGGCGGACUGAUAAGUCAGUGGUGAAAUCUCUCAGCUUAACUGAGAAACUGCCAUUGAUACUGUUAGUCUAGAGUACAGAUGAUGUGGGCGGAAUAUGACAUGUAGUGGUGAAAUACUUAGAUAUGUCAUAGAACACCGAUUGCGAAGGCAGCUCACAAAACUGUAACUGACGCUGAGGCACGAAAGUGCGGGGAUCAAACAGGAUUAGAUACCCUGGUAGUCCGCACCGUAAACGAUGAUUACUCGUUGUUGGCGAUAUGACAGUCAGCGACCAAGCGAAAGCGAUAAGUAAUCCACCUGGGGAGUACGCCGGCAACGGUGAAACUCAAAGGAAUUGACGGCGNGAGAGNGCGAGGACGACACGAGGGAGGAG